rnacentral:rRNA from 1 species
CAGGCCUAACACAUGCAAGUCGAGCGAACUGAUUAGAAGCUUGCUUCUAUGACGUUAGCGGCGGACGGGUGAGUAACACGUGGGCAACCUGCCUGUAAGACUGGGAUAACUUCGGGAAACCGAAGCUAAUACCGGAUAGGAUCUUCUCCUUCAUGGGAGAUGAUUGAAAGAUGGUUUCGGCUAUCACUUACAGAUGGGCCCGCGGUGCAUUAGCUAGUUGGUGAGGUAACGGCUCACCAAGGCAACGAUGCAUAGCCGACCUGAGAGGGUGAUCGGCCACACUGGGACUGAGACACGGCCCAGACUCCUACGGGAGGCAGCAGUAGGGAAUCUUCCGCAAUGGACGAAAGUCUGACGCAGCAACGCCGCGUGAGUGAUGAAGGCUUUCGGGUCGUAAAACUCUGUUGUUAGGGAAGAACA